UACGUAGGGUGCAAGCGUUGUCCGGAAUUAUUGGGCGUAAAGAGCUCGUAGGCGGUUUGUCGCGUCUGCUGUGAAAACCCGGGGCUUAACUUCGGGCUUGCGGUUGAUACGGGCGGGCUGGAGUUCGGUAGGGGAGACUGGAAUUCCUGGUGUAGCGGUGAAAUGCGCAGAUAUCAGGAGGAACACCGGUGGCGAAGGCGGGUCUCUGGGCCGAUACUGACGCUGAGGAGCGAAAGCGUGGGGAGCGAACAGG
rnacentral:rRNA from 1 species